GACGAACGCUGGCGGCGUGCUUAACACAUGCAAGUCGAACGGAAAGGCCCUGCUUUUGUGGGGUGCUCGAGUGGCGAACGGGUGAGUAACACGUGAGUAGCCUGCCCUUGACUUUGGGAUAACUUCAGGAAACUGGGGCUAAUACCGGAUAGGAGCUCCUGCUGCAUGGUGGGGGUUGGAAAGUUUCGGCGGUUGGGGAUGGACUCGCGGCUUAUCAGCUUGUUGGUUGGGUAGUGGCUUACCAAGGCUUUGACGGGUAGCCGGCCUGAGAGGGUGACCGGCCACAUUGGGACUGAGAUACGGCCCAGACUCCUACGGGAGGCAGCAGUGGGGAAUAUUGCACAAUGGGCGGAAGCCUGAUGCAGCAACGCCGCGUGCGGGAUGACGGCCUUCGGGUUGUAAACCGCUUUCGCCUGUGACGAAGCGUGAGUGACGGUAAUGGGUAAAGAAGCACCGGCUAACUACGUG
rnacentral:rRNA from 1 species